UACAGAGGGGGCAAGCGUUUGUUCGGAAUUACUGGGCGUAAAGGGCGCGUAGGCGGCCUUCUAAGUCGAACGUGAAAUCCCCGGGCUCGAACCCGGGAACCUGCGUCCGAUACUGGAAGGCUUGAAUCCGGGAGAGGGAUGCGGAAUUCCAGGUGUAGCGGUGAAAUGCGUAGAUAUCGAGAGGAACACCUGCGGCGAAGGCGGGUUGCUGGGCUGAAUACUGACGCUGGAGGCGCGAAAGCCAGGGGAGCGAACGGGA
rnacentral:rRNA from 1 species